GACGAACGCUGGCGGCGCGCUUAACACAUGCAAGUCGAGCGCAGCGGCGGACGGGUGAGUAACAAGUGAGUAACCUGCCUUCGACAUUGGGAUCGCCUAGGGAAACCGGGAUUCAUACCAAAUGGUCUAAGAUGGACUCGCGUCCCAUUAGCUAGUUGGUGAGGUAACGGCCCACCAAUGCGACGAUGGGUAGCCGGCCUGGGAGGGUGAACGGCCACAUUGGGACUGAGAAACGUUCCAAAAUCUACGGGAGGCAGCAGUGGGGAAAAGGGCACAAGGGAUGGAAAUCUGAAGCAGCGCCGCCGCGUGAACGAAGAAGGCUUUCGAGUCUUAAAGUUCUUUUAUAUGGGAAGCGGUACCAUAAGAAAAAGCCCCGGCUAACUACGUGCCAGCAGCCGCGGUAAUAC
rnacentral:rRNA from 1 species